CGGCCCUUCACUAGGUAGACUUGAUGAAAUUAACAAGCUGCCUGAUGAAGAGCUGUCC
rnacentral:pre_miRNA from 1 species